ensembl:snRNA U6 U6 spliceosomal RNA
GUCCUUGUUUCAACAGCGCAUACACUAAAAUAGAAAAGACACAGAGAAGAUUAGCAUGGCUUCUGCAGGAGGAUGACACUCAAAUUCGUGAAGCAUUCCAUAUUUUU